GUGAAGAACGUAGUGAAAUGCGAUAAGUAAUGUGAAUUGCAGAAUUCAGUGAAUCAUCGAAUCUUUGAACGCACAUUGCGCCCGCUAGUAUUCUGGCGGGCAUGCCUGUCCGAGCGUCAUUUCAACCCUCAAGCCCCCGGGCUUGGUGUUGGGGAUCGGCGAGCCUCCGCGCCCGCCGUCCCCUAAAUCUAGUGGCGGUCUCGCUGUAGCUUCCUCUGCGUAGUAGCACACCUCGCACUGGGAAACAGCGCGGCCACGCCGUUAAACCCCCAACUUCUGAACGUUUGACCUCGGAUCAGGUAGGAAUACCCGCUGAACUUAAGCAUAUCAAAAGCGGAGGA
rnacentral:misc_RNA from 1 species